rnacentral:lncRNA from 1 species
UGGGAUAGAAUAUAAUAAAAUGAAUAUAGUAAAAGUAUCUGAAAAUCAAAAAGACCGUUAUUAACCCACUGAGAAAAAUAUAAUUUGUUUUUUGUUUUAUAAAUUUUUGAUAUAAUAUACAUUUGACUUGUAUAAGAAAUUUCUUUUAACAAAUAUUGUUAAGUUUAUUUAUAAAUAUAUUAAUUAUCAAUCUACCAAAAUAGUGAAGCAAGUAUUAUUUUUUUUUCCUUUUUUAAUUUUCUAUCAAACUAUUAUCAAUUUUUUUUUUAAAAAAAAUCAGUUUGUGACAGAUAUUUUAUUAUUAGAAAUCCAUACAAUUUAAAUAAUGUCACAUUUAUAUGUAUUUAUGUAUAAAAUGGUCUUCAUAAUUUGGGAUUUUGUAAAAAAUAGGUCUAAAGUUAAUUUGGUUAAUUUUUUUUUCUGUAACAAAAGUUAACUAGAUUUAUAAUUUUAUUUUCUGAAUGGAUUGUAUCAGUUAAAUUAUUUUUUUUAAAUUAAACGCCCCAAAGCCCAAUUAAUAAUAUUUAUUUUGUUGAUAACAAAGUAAGAUUAAAUAGGGAUAACAUAUAAUAUAUAAGGAAGACUAAAAAAAAAAAGGGUUCAACAACCUUUUAUAAGUAGAUUUUUAAAAAUUGUUUUCUUUUUAAUAAUAUAAAUGGUGUUAUGGGUUGAAGAUGCCCUAAUGUAUAUAUUGGAGAUAUUUUUCACGCCUUACAAUAACAAAAAAAAUGUCAUUUUCAUAGUUCGGUUGGUCAUGACGACUAGGCUAAUCUAUCUAUCGAGUCUUUUGGAAUGUAUUGCAUGGGGGGGAUUCCGUAACUAUGAAUUAGCGAAAAUACUGAAGAAUUAAAAAAAGCAAACUGUAGUUUCAAAAAAAAAAAAGCAAACUUUUUUGGUUUCCCAGUCUUGUUUCAUUAUCAUUGCAGAUGAGGUGUUAAUGGGCC